CCUACGGGUGGCAGCAGUGAGGAAUAUUGGUCAAUGGGCGUAAGCCUGAACCAGCCAAGUCGCGUGAGGGAUGAAGGUUCUAUGGAUCGUAAACCUCUUUUAUAAGGGAAUAAAGUGUGGGACGUGUCCUGUUUUGUAUGUACCUUAUGAAUUAGGAUCGGCUAACUCCGUGCCAGCAGCCGCGGUAAUAUGGAGGAUCCGAGCGUUAUCCGGUUUUAUUGGGUUUAAAGGGUGCGUAGGCGGCCUGUAAGUCAGCGGUGAAAGUCUGUGGCUCAACCAGAGAAUUGCCGUUGAAACUGGGAGGCUUGAGUAUGUUUGAGGCAGGCGGAAUGCGUGGUGUAGCGGUGAAAUGCGUAGAUAUCACGCAGAACCCCGAUUGCGAAGGCAGCCUGCCAAGCCAUGACUGACGCUGAUGCACGAAAGCGUGGGGAUCAAACAGGAUUAGAUACCCGGGUAGUC
rnacentral:rRNA from 1 species